rnacentral:snRNA from 1 species
GGAUGUGAGGGCGAUCUGGCUGUGACAUGUGUGACCCCAUUGAUCACCAGGGUUGAUUCGACUAAUCUGGCUGGCUAGGCAAGUGUCCCCUUCCUCCCUCACCGCUCCACGUGCAUCCCUCCCAAAACUGUGCACUCGAUUGAAGAGGACGACCAACCCCUAUACAGGGGGACCAGUCGUCAGUCAAGGAUAUAUGAGUAGCUGCAGUCCCCUGCUAGAACCUCUAAACAAGCUCCCAAAAUGGCCCAGUUAAAUGAAAACAUAAAUAUGAGAAUCAAGUUGUGUAUCUUGGAGGCCAAUAGGUCUGUAAAUCUAAGUAAUGUUCUCAU